rnacentral:misc_RNA from 1 species
CGGAUGCUUCUCAGACACCUCCCUCUUAACACCCUUCACUUCGGGAGGACUCUCAUCCACCACGCCAUCCUAUGUGACAAUCCAAGAGCAGUAAAAGUGCUACUAAACUGUGGUGCAGAUAAAGAACUUCCGGUUAAAACAACUUCAAAAAAAGAGUGCCGCCCUGUCCAUUUAGUUGCACGGCUUGGAUCAGCCAAAGUUCUUGAGCAGCUGACAGUCGGUGGCUGCAAUCUCAACUCUCGAACAGAUUCUGGAGAAACUGCCUUAAUGAUAUGUGCUAGAUAUAAGCAAAAGGAAUGUCUAAAAAUCUUGGCCUCAGCUGGUGCUGAUUUUGGAUUGGUCAAUUCAGCCGGUGAGUCUGCUAGCUUAAUUGCAAGGUCAACCAAAUGGGCUCUUGGCUUCCAGCAAGCAGUGAUAGAUGUGAUUCGGGAUGGGAAGAGUCUCAUAUCAAGCAAUGUCUCAGUAUUUUUUCCCUUGAUGUUCGUGGUUCAAGCAAAUGAUAUUGAAACCUUGAAACUGCUCAUUGAAAAGACAGAUAUCAAUCUUGAUGAACAGGAUGAAGAUGGAUUCUCUGCUGCUAUGAUAGCUGCAGCCGGAGGUCAGGUGGAAGCUUUCAGGUUACUGGUUUAUGCAGGGGCCAAUGUAAAGCUGCAGAACAAAUAUGGCGAAACGUCAAUCACCUUGUCGGAGUUAAGCCACCACGGAGAAGCCAUCGAAAAGGUGACGCUUGAUUAUGCACUUGAAGAGGGACAUAACUAUUCCGCCGGCGUUCAUGCUCUGCAUCGUGCAGCGCACCGGGGCGACAUAGAUUUGAUUCAUAUGUUAACUAGAAGAGGUUAUGAUGUGAAUGCCUAUGAUAGUGAAGGAUACACCCCGCUAAUGUUAGCUGCAAGAGGAGGCCACAGCAGAGUGUGUGAGCAUUUAAUUUCAUGUGGGGCAAGCUGUUAUCUUAAGAAUCCGAAAGAGGAAACUGCACUCUCGCUUGCCAGGAAGAAUGGCUAUGGAACUGAACCAG